rnacentral:rRNA from 1 species
CAGUAGCCGCGGUAAUACGUAGGGUGCAUGCGUUAAUCGGAAUUACUGGGCGUAAAGCGUGCGCAGGCGGUUCGCUAAGACAGAUGUGAAAUCCCCGGGCUUAACCUGGGAACUGCAUUUGUGACUGGCGGGCUAGAGUAUGGCAGAGGGGGGUAGAAUUCCACGUGUAGCAGUGAAAUGCGUAGAGAUGUGGAGGAAUACCGAUGGUGAAGGCAGCCCCCUGGGCCAAUACUGACGCUCAUGCACGAAGGCGUGGGGAGCAAACAGGAUAGAUACCCCAGUAGUCCCUGUCUCUUAUACA